rnacentral:lncRNA from 12 species
GGGGGGGGGGGGGGGGGGGGGGGGGGGGGGGGGGGGGGGGGGGGGGGGGGGGGGGGGGGGGGGGGGGGGGGGGGGGGGGGGGGGGGGGGGGGGGGGGGGCCCGGGCCCCCGCCCCGCCCCGGGCCGCAGCACAUGGCCGGCCUCGCAGCACGGCGAGCGCCUCUGUGGGGUUUUGCUGCCGGCCUCGGCCUCUCCGUGGGCGGGCAGCGGGCCCUGUGUGCCCUGAGCGUCACCCACCAGGCGCGGGGUUUGCCUCUGCCAUCGCAGCAGGCAGCGUGUGUCGUGGUAAUCCAGAAGCUGCUCCAGAGGCCCCAAGGGCUUCCCAGCCAAGCCUGGGGUCACUGGCAUGUAAAAGGAUCCCGGCUCCAAAGGUUCAGGGAAGUGGGCAGAACGUAGAGAUUCCACAUCUCUGAGCAGCAGCCAUCGAAUUGCACAUGAAUCUGCUUUCCCUCCCACCUUUGUAUGUACACCUGAGAGAUGGCAGACAUCUUACACACUGGGAACCUGCAGCCUCGAGAAGUUUGACAGCUCUAGUAUCAAGAUUUACGUAUGGGGUGUGCAGAGCUGUGCAACGUUUUGUCGGCUUGUGCUCCAUUGAUCACUGCUGUUCCUUAAAGAAAUUACCAUGGGGAAACAAACAAAUGCUGCAGGAACACAGUUUUUUCUACAUGCAGAAGCAAGCAAACAAGCAAAGGAACAAAAUAUAGGAUAGACAUUACUUGAAGAUUUGCUCUCUUCAGAAGUGUCAGGGACUGAUUCUGCAUGUCAUAUGAGCACUGCAAGCUCCGGCAACCCUCAGUCUCUUCAUCAUUGGUUUUAAGUUGAGUGUGCACUGUGGCUGUACAUAAGCAAAUAAAAGUCCCUCCUUCACAAGUUUGGCUGGACUAUAUCUUAUAAGCUUAAAAGUAAGCUUAUAUCAAAAUAAGAGGUCUCCCAUUCAUCUACCCCGUUAUCUCCACAUGUAGCAAGGAACUUCUGGUGACCAUUUUUGGCAUUGGCAUUAGUGUAACUGUGGAUUCACCAGGAUUAGAGGACUGAUUUGGCUGAAACCCCUUAAAAAUUAUACCCCCCCCAACCCCCCACUCCUUAAUUCUGAGUUGGAAUAAUUUCCUUAUCCAGUUUUCCAUUAGCUGCACAAGGAAGAGACUUUACUCGUGGUUAUGCAAAGGCAGGUUCUCUCCAUGACAGCCUGAAUACAGGUCAGCCUGAGGGAAUGAUGUUGAGGACGGGGAAGCAUGGCUGCAGAGAGAGAUUCUUGUAAAACUAGACCCUCAAGCUCUCUCUUCGCCUAACGAAAUUAGUUUUCUCCACAACACUAUCAGACACAGUCCUGUGAAUGAGUUGGGAGUGGAGGACAGGGGAUUGUGUAGUGAUACAGCCCACUGUUUUGGAUGUUUUGGCUUGAUUCUAUUGGUAUUAUUUUCAGUCUCUUAUUACUUUAAAUCAGAUAAACACAGGUUUACAGAUUCAAGUCCAAACAUAUGUUGUUUAAAAUAUGUGUUCACCUCAGGCAAAAGACACACCCAGAAGCUAAGUAUGAUUUUUUUUGCAUAUCAUUAAUGCACUGAAAUCAGGCAAUGCUUUCAAAUAAUGUACUUCCAGA